GACGGAGGUUGCAAGCGUUAUCCGGAUUUAUUGGGUUUAAAGGGUGCGUAGGCGGGACUUUAAGUCAGUGGUGAAAGACUGUCGCUUAACGAUAGCAUUGCCAUUGAUACUGAAUUUCUUGAGUACAUUUGAGGUGGGCGGAAUGUGUAGUGUAGCGGUGAAAUGCUUAGAUAUUACACAGAACACCGAUUGCGAAGGCAGCUCACUAAACUGUAACUGACGCUGAGGCACGAAAGCGUGGGGAUCAAACAGG
rnacentral:rRNA from 1 species